GCCAGCAUGGUGUAGUGGUUUGAAUGUAGAACUUUGACUCUGGAGACCAGGGUUUGAAUCCCUGCUCAGCCA